UACAGAGGGGGCAAGCGUUAUUCGGAAUUAUUGGGCGUAAAGGGCGCGUAGGCGGCUUGGCAAGUGGAUGGUGAAAUCCCUCGGCUUAACCGAGGAACUGCCGUCCAAACUGCUUUGCUUGAGGCCGGGAGAGGCGAGUGGAAUUCCCAGUGUAGCGGUGAAAUGCGUAGAUAUUGGGAGGAACACCAGUGGCGAAGGCGGCUCGCUGGACCGGUUCUGACGCUGAUGCGCGAAAGCGUGGGGAGCGAACAGGA
rnacentral:rRNA from 1 species